AACAGAACCAACCUUUGAAUGGCUUGGGCAGCAGGCCUGCAGAGUAAGAGCCCUGCUCUUCCCAGUGCUGGCUCCCUUCUCCCUUCCACAGUACACUUUCUGGUUUCUCUAGUCUUCAAAGCCAAGAAUCCGGUCUAAAGAUGCCACAAAGCUUCAGCAUGCUUAAGGCAAGACAAUGCUGUGUUCUUCUUCAAUCUUUGUUGCUACACUUUGGAAUAAAAGUUUUGCCACAGUGUAUAAAAUAAAAGCAGUCUAAGAUGUUACCUAAAU